UACGUAGGGGGCUAGCGUUGUCCGGAAUCAUUGGGCGUAAAGCGCACGUAGUCGGCUUUGCAAGUCGGUUGUGAAAUCCCCGGGCUCAACCUGGGAACUGCAUCCGAGACUGCAUUGCUAGAGUAUGGGAGAGGAAAGCGGAAUUUCUGGUGUAGCAGUGAAAUGCGUAGAUAUCAGAAGGAACAUCAGUGGCGAAGGCGGCUUUCUGGACCAAUACUGACGAUCAGGUGCGAAAGCGUGGGGAGCAAACAGG
rnacentral:rRNA from 1 species